ACUUUAGUGUUGUUGGGUAGGGGAGCGUUCUGUAAGCCGUUGAAGGUGUCCUGUGAGGGGUGCUGGAGGUAUCAGAAGUGCGAAUGCUGACAUAAGUAACGAUAAAGCGGGUGAAAAGCCCGCUCGCCGGAAGACCAAGGGUUCCUGUCCAACGUUAAUCGGGGCAGGGUGAGUCGACCCCUAAGGCGAGGCCGAAAGGCGUAGUCGAUGGGAAACGGGUUAAUAUUCCCGUACUUGGUGUUACUGCGAAGGGGGGACGGAGAAGGCUAUGUUGGCCGGGCGACGGUUGUCCCGGUUUAAGCGUGUAGGCUGGUUUUCCAGGCAAAUCCGGAAAAUCAAGGCUGAGGCGUGAUGACGAGGCACCACGGUGCUGAAGCAACAAAUGCCCUGCUUCCAGGAAAAGCCUCUAAGCAUCAGGUAACAUCAAAUCGUACCCCAAACCGACACAGGUGGUCAGGUAGAGAAUACCAAGGCGCUUGAGAGAACUCGGGUGAAGGAACUAGGCAAAAUGGUGCCGUAACUUCGGGAGAAGGCACGCUGACACGUAGGUGAAGUGAUUUACUCAUGGAGCUGAAGUCAGUCGAAGAUACCAGCUGGCUGCAACUGUUUAUUAAAAACACAGCACUGUGCAAACACGAAAGUGGACGUAUACGGUGUGACGCCUGCCCGGUGCCGGAAGGUUAAUUGAUGGGGUCAGCGCAAGCGAAGCUCCUGAUCGAAGCCCCGGUAAACGGCGGCCGUAACUAUAACGGUCCUAAGGUAGCGAAAUUCCUUGUCGGGUAAGUUCCGACCUGCACGAAUGGCGUAAUGAUGGCCAGGCUGUCUCCACCCGAGACUCAGUGAAAUUGAACUCGCUGUGAAGAUGCAGUGUACCCGCGGCAAGACGGAAAGACCCCGUGAACCUUUACUAUAGCUUGACACUGAACAUUGAGCCUUGAUGUGUAGGAUAGGUGGGAGGCUUUGAAGCGUGGACGCCAGUCUGCGUGGAGCCGACCUUGAAAUACCACCCUUUAAUGUUUGAUGUUCUAACGUGGACCCGUAAUCCGGGUUGCGGACAGUGUCUGGUGGGUAGUUUGACUGGGGCGGUCUCCUCCUAAAGAGUAACGGAGGAGCACGAAGGUUGGCUAAUCCUGGUCGGACAUCAGGAGGUUAGUGCAAUGGCAUAAGCCAGCUUGACUGCGAGCGUGACGGCGCGAGCAGGUGCGAAAGCAGGUCAUAGUGAUCCGGUGGUUCUGAAUGGAAGGGCCAUCGCUCAACGGAUAAAAGGUACUCCGGGGAUAACAGGCUGAUACCGCCCAAGAGUUCAUAUCGACGGCGGUGUUUGGCACCUCGAUGUCGGCUCAUCACAUCCUGGGGCUGAAGUAGGUCCCAAGGGUAUGGCUGUUCGCCAUUUAAAGUGGUACGCGAGCUGGGUUUAGAACGUCGUGAGACAGUUCGGUCCCUAUCUGCCGUGGGCGCUGGAAGACUGAGGGGGGCUGCUCCUAGUACGAGAGGACCGGAGUGGACGCAUCACUGGUGUUCGGGUUGUCAUGCCAAUGGCACUGCCCGGUAGCUAAAUGCGGAAAAGAUAAGUGCUGAAAGCAUCUAAGCACGAAACUUGCCCCGAGAUGAGUCUUCCCUGAGACUUUGAGUCUCCUGAAGGAACGUUAAAGACGAUGACGUUGAUAGGCCGGGUGUGUAAGCGCAGCGAUGCGUUGAGCUAACCGGUACUAAUGAACCGUGAGG
rnacentral:rRNA from 1 species